UACGGAGGGGGCGAGCGUUAUUCGGAAUCAUUGGGCGUAAAGGGCGCGUAGGCGGCACGGCAAGUCAGGAGUGAAAGGCCUGGGCUCAACCGAGGAACUGCUUUUGAGACUGCCGAGCUAGAGUGCAGAAGGGGCAACUGGAAUUCCCAGUGUAGCGGUGAAAUGCGUAGAUAUUGGGAAGAACACCUGAGGCGAAGGCGGCUUCCUGGACCGACACUGACGCUGAGGCGCGAAAGCUAGGGGAGCAAACGGG
rnacentral:rRNA from 1 species